rnacentral:rRNA from 1 species
AUUGAACGCUGGCGGCAUGCCUUACACAUGCAAGUCGAACGGCAGCGGGGGAGAAGCUUGCUUUUCCUGCCGGCGAGUGGCGAACGGGUGAGUAAUACAUCGGAACGCGCCCUGUAGUGGGAGAUAACUAGUCGAAAGAUUAGCUAAUACCGCAUACGACCUGAGGGUGAAAGUGGGGGACCGCAAGGCCUCAUGCUAUAGGAGCGGCCGAUGUCGGAUUAGCUAGUUGGUGGGGUAAAGGCCUACCAAGGCGACGAUCAGUAGCUGGUCUGAGAGGACGAUCAGCCACACUGGGACUGAGACACGGCCCAGACUCCUACGGGAGGCAGCAGUGGGGAAUUUUGGACAAUGGGCGAAAGCCUGAUCCAGCAAUGCCGCGUGUGUGAAGAAGGCCUUCGGGUUGUAAAGCACUUUUGUCCGGAAAGAAAUGGCUCUGGUUAAUACCUGGGGUCGAUGACGGUACCGGAAGAAUAAGGACCGGCUAACUACGUGCCAGCCGCCGCCGUAA